UGGUUUAACAUAAUGAUUUCCAGUUCCAUACAUUUCCAUACAGUGUCAUGACUUUUCCUUAUGGCUGGUUAAAGUUCUACUUUGUACAUGCACCACAAUUUCUUGUGCGUUCAUCCGCUGGUGGGACCUCUAGGAUGACUCCGUCUCUAGCUAGUGUGCACAGGGCAGCAGUCACAGCCAUGCAAGUGUCUCUGCGGCUGGACCAAGAGUAUUUUAAGAAUAUCCCCUGGAGCAGUAUGGCUGGAUCAUGUAAUAGCUCUAGUCUUAGUGUUUUUGAGAAGCCUGCUGCAUACUGAUUUCCAUGGAGGCUACAUCAGUCUCAACAGUGAAUAAGGGCUCCCCCUCCCCCACACCCUUGCCAACAGUUGUGGUCACUCGUUUUCUGCAUGACAGCCAUUGUGACUAUGGUGAUAGAAAAAUCUUGAAGUCAUUUUAAUUUUCAUUUCUCUGACGGCUAAGGAUGCUGAAUAUUUUAAAUGUCUACUGGCUGUUUAAAUUUCUUCUUUGGAGAACUGUUCAUACCAUAUACUACAUCAAUGAUUUAAUGGAAAAUUUGGGUUCUUGGUGUGGUUUUUUUUCCCCAGUUCUUUACAUGUUUUUUGGUAUUGGCCUCCUGUCUGAGUUGACAGAUUUUUCUCCCUUUCUGUAGACUGCCUCUACACUCUGCUUCCUUGGCUGGCUUUUUAAUUUCACAUAAUCCCACUGGCCAACUGGGGUCAUUUCCUGUGUUAUUGGAGUCUUUUAGAAAAUUCUUGCUUAUUCCUGUGUCUUGAAGGAUUCCUCCUGUUUCCCUCUGGCAGUUUCAGUGUUUCAGGUUUUAUAUUAAGGUCUCUGAUCCAUUUUGAAUUGAUUUUUGUGCAAGGCGAGAUGUAGUUCUAAUUUCAUCCUUCGUGUGUGUAUACUCAGUUUUCCCAGCAGUCUUUGCAGACAGGCUAUAUGCUCUCCCAUAGGUGUUUUUGACACCUUUCUCAAAACCUGCGUGGCCAUGGCCAUGGGGUUUAUGUCUGGGUCAACUGCUGUAUGCCCUCAGUCUGCAUGUGGACUUUAGCCACCACCGCUCUGUGUUUGUCAUUAUGGCUCUGUAAUGUCAUUUGAAAUCAGGGACCUGCAUUAAUCUCUCUGCUUAUGGUAGCUUUGACCAUGAGGGAUCUUCUGUGUUUACACAUUAACACUAGGAUUGUUUCUUUCUAGUUCUUCAGAGAGUAUCAUUGGAAUUUUGAUGGGGAUUGGAGUGAAUCUUCAGGCUGCCCUCACCAAUACAUACAGCCACUUUCAGAGUGUUAAUUCUGUCGAUCCAUGAACUUGGAGUCUUCCCACUUUCUGAAAAGGACAGAUGUCCUGCUGUGACUGGACACACAUCUGGACCUCCAAGACAUGGAAAGAAGCAGGAUUUGAACUUGCCUUAAAUCCCUCCCUCGAAGCUUCUGCCACCUGCCUGUUCCAGGUCACCACCUUCCUGACUCCCAGACAGUUCUCUCAGUCUGGCCAUGUCCUGGAAUGUCAUUCUAUGUUAGGUACUGUCUUUAUUAAAAUCAAAUUUAAUGACAAGUAAGCUGUA